rnacentral:rRNA from 1 species
UACAGAGGGGGGCAAGCUUGUUCGGAAUUACUGGGCGUAAAGGGCGCGUAGGCGGCCUGCUAAGUCGAACGUGAAAUCCCUGGGCUCAACCCAGGAACUGCGUCCGAUACUGGUUGGCUUGAAUCCGGGAGAGGGAUGUGGAAUUCCAGGUGUAGCGGUGAAAUGCGUAGAUAUCUGGAGGAACACCGGUGGCGAAGGCGACAUCCUGGACCGGUAUUGACGCUGAGGCGCGAAAGCCAGGGGAGCAAACGGG